rnacentral:rRNA from 1 species
UACGGAGGGUGCGAGCGUUGUCCGGAAUCACUGGGCGUAAAGGGCGCGUAGGCGGCUCAUGAAGGCUGUGGUGAAAGUCCGGGCUCAACCUCGGAUCGGCCGUGGCGACUCGUGGGCUGGAGCACUGUAGAGGCGGGUGGAAUUCCGGGUGUAGCGGUGGAAUGCGUAGAGAUCCGGAAGAACACCGGUGGCGAAGGCGGCCUGCUGGGCAGUGGCUGACGCUGAGGCGCGACAGCGUGGGGAGCAAACAGG